AUGGCUGCCAAAAACUCCAAAGGCCGCGCAGGGAAAAGAAAACCCAAAAAGAAAAACAUAUGGGCGAUGUGCCUCGGCAAGUGUGAUGUCCUAGGAGAUCUAGCCACUGCUCUGAAACGAUGGCAGGGCUGCUGCACACACCCAUGCACGCAGAGGAGAGGAGUCGGGAAACCUCGGCUCGGUAGCGCUGACAGGAGCUAUGCGGUGAUCGACCGACGGUCUGAGCGUUAA
rnacentral:rRNA from 1 species